rnacentral:rRNA from 1 species
CGCUGGCGGCAGGCCUAACACAUGCAAGUCGAGCGGAUGAGAGGAGCUUGCUCCUGGAUUCAGCGGCGGACGGGUGAGUAAUGCCUAGGAAUCUGCCUGGUAGUGGGGGACAACGUUUCGAAAGGAACGCUAAUACCGCAUACGUCCUACGGGAGAAAGCAGGGGACCUUCGGGCCUUGCGCUAUCAGAUGAGCCUAGGUCGGAUUAGCUAGUUGGUGAGGUAAUGGCUCACCAAGGCGACGAUCCGUAACUGGUCUGAGAGGAUGAUCAGUCACACUGGAACUGAGACACGGUCCAGACUCCUACGGGAGGCAGCAGUGGGGAAUAUUGGACAAUGGGCGAAAGCCUGAUCCAGCCAUGCCGCGUGUGUGAAGAAGGUCUUCGGAUUGUAAAGCACUUUAAGUUGGGAGGAAGGGUCGUAGAUUAAUACUCUGCAAUUUUGACGUUACCGACAGAAUAAGCACCGGCU